rnacentral:lncRNA from 1 species
CAGGUAUCAUAUUUUGGCAGGAUGAUUUGGAGAGGAAAUUCAUCUUGAGAUGAUUCUUGGGAUGGGCUUCCUCAUGCCAGCUUAUUAUGUCUCAAUUUGAACUAGUCAUCCUGAACUCUAGAGACAAAAGAGAGAAAGAAGCAUUUUAAAACAGGAGAACUCCAUUUUAAGUGUUUAUUUUAGCAUGAGGGGAAUUCUACUCUGGAAACUCCUAUUUAUCUUAUUUGUUGGUAAAGAGAACCAAGGACAACUACCACAGCUGUGGAUGCCCACAGCACAUACCAUUUGUGUGAACAGUCGCACCUGAACAGCAUGUUUUAUUUCUUGUCCCCUUGCUUGUUCCCAAGGACAGAUAGGUCCUAGUCUAUUCUUCCCAUUCAUCUCUUCCUCCUUGAUUGAUUUGUUGCUGAGAGCAACAGAAGCUUGAAGUUCAGUAGAUAUUUCCCACUAUUCAGAUUUUUCUCACAUGUCCAGUAGAUGGUAUCUCCAUUUUGAUAUGUGAAAAAUUUCUUGUUUUCCCAUUUGCUAUAGAGCUUCACUUUCAGGAAUGUGUCCCUGAAAUGCUGUUCCUUUCUAGGUUUGUUUUUUUCCCUCCUUUUCCAGAGAGGGCAGUAUGUGCUGGUGAGGCUGUGACAUCUGAUUAACUUCUGUUAUCAGGAUGCUUUCUUUAUUCCCGCAGCUGCAUUCACUGGGAACAAGGAAAUUGGCAAUGAGCUCAGAAGGUGCACGGGAGGCAACCCAAUUCCCACUGCAGCUGCAAAGGGACUUUGGGAAAAUUCCUGCAAGACACAUUGCAAUGGACUUCAUUAUUCAGAAGGAAGAUGUACAUCUCCUGAACCACAAGCAGAGUUGCUGCUCUCCUGGAGUCCUGCAUAACUUGGAACCUUAGGGUAAGAACAUGAAAGAAUGAACAACCACAAUGGAGAUAAUUUUCUGAAGAAAGCAGCAUGACUCUCGUGAAGUUAUGGACAUUCAUUUGCAGGAGCCUUAUUACCUGAUGUAAGCCAUUGUUAUCCUACUUCCUUCAAAGGUGCAUUAGUAGCUUACUUCAUUUUCACCAUCAGCUUAGAACUGCUCGUUGUUCACCACCGCUGCUGGAAAUACACACACUUCCCAAUGUCCAGACUUUUUAUGUACAAAGGUAAGUAUAUAAUGAAAACUAGAAGUUUAAAGAACAAUUAUCAACAAGAGAAAUUACAAAUUUGGCUAUUUUGAGUGUUCCAUCCAAAUGCUUAUUCAACAAUGUUUUUGUUCUUCCCCUCAAGUCUCCCUCCCCUUACACAUGUAUGUUGUGUGUGCCCUGCCCAAUAGCAUUGAAAACUGCAAACUCUUGACAGUCUGAGGGCUGACAGAGGGGGCAUCUGUUGUAUGUCGCAGCUUUUUUUUGAUGCCUGGUGAUAAUGUUGAUACAGAUACUUUGAUCUUUAAGCAGUUUGACUUCAUGGAAGAGAUUCUGACUGUGUGGAUGUCUAAAUAAGUUCCCUCAGCUCAUAAAUCUAAAUAAUUCUCAAACUCUCCUACUGGUUUUAUGAUCUCCUAAAUUAUACAGUCUGAAGUAUUUUUCAACUGUUCCACAUUUCUAGCCAAGUCUUUGGAGAUGGUGAAAACUGAGCCUUUAGUGUCCUGUUUCUAUUGCAGGAAGGGCACAAGCAGCUUUUGUAGGUCUGGGCAGAUGAAGAUGGUUUCCACCUGCUUUGUUCUUGGGCAGAUGUUUGUCAGGUUUAGAACCCAUUCUUCUUUUAUGCUUUUAUUAAAAACCUCUCCUCCACACAGGUAGAAGGGAAGGUAGGAAAAUGAAGCCUACUUGUGCUCUUGUUGAUAUCUUUUCAAGGUUGAUUUGAAUAAGGGACAGACUUUGUUGUUGUUGUUAUCACUGGAAUGCAAUAAUAAAAAAAAAUCAUUCUGAAC